GUGGGAACAGCACGGCCGCAAAUCCGACUCGCCACGAGCCGUCGAUGUCUCCGCGACUCGCGGGCUACGCCCGCUCGUUCGUUUCGAGAUGUGUACGAUGGCUCCGUGGCUCUGGGAUUGCGGUAGUGC
rfam:Halalkalicoccus jeotgali B3, complete genome.